GAUGAACGUUGGCGGUGUGCCUAAUACAUGCAAGUCGAACGGAGUUAGUAGCAAUACUGGCUCAGUGGCGAACGGGUGAGUAACGCGUUGGUGAUCUGCCUUGAAGUGUGGAAUAACGUUUCGAAAGGAACGCUAAUACCGCAUGUGCUCUCGAUUAUCAGAAAGUUGAGAGUAAAGGAUUUAUUCGCUUCAAGAGGAGCCUGCGUCCCAUCAGCUGGUUGGUAGGGUAACGGCCUACCAAGGCUAUGACGGGUAGGGGACCUGAGAGGGUGGCCCCCCCACAAUGGAACUGAAACACGGUCCAUACACCUACGGGUGGCAGCAGUAGGGAAUAUUAGAAAUGGACGAAAGUCUGAUCUAGCAACACCGCGUGUGCGAAGAAGGCCUUCGGGUCGUAAAGCACUUUUUGGAAGGAAUAGGAAGGAAUGUACUUCCAGAAUAAGUCUCGGCUAACUACGUGCCAGCAGCCGCGGU
rnacentral:rRNA from 1 species